AUAUGAGGAGUUGUUCGAUCACGCCUUCGCCUCCGUGCGAUCAUCAGAAGUACCUGAAACAAUAAUCGAUAAAUGUAAGCUCGAAGACUUAGUGAAUUACCCCCAAAAUACCAACACCAUACACAUAUAACCAUAUCAUAUAAACAUAUAAGCAAACAAAUACAACAUACAUAAUGAGCCAUCAGUCUGACUGGACCAAAUCCCGGUCCUCAGUCUAUCUGGACCGCUCUUUGAGCCCUCAGCACAUCUGGACCGCCCUCCUCGGGCCUUCAUCCUAUCCGGACCGCUCACUGGGCCUUCAACCUGAGAUUUGCCCUGCCCGGGCUUGCAGUCUACCCGGUCCACCCAGGGUGUCUUGGCCUACUGCACACAGCAGGACCCGCCUCAACCCUUUUCCCCAAACCAACAAAUAUGUGUACAUACAUAUAAACAAUUAAGAAUACAAAUCUAACAUAUCACUAAUCAUGGCAACCAUCCUUUACCCAAGAUACCUAUCUAACCGAUCACUAACAUAGCAACCACCCUACAAUCAGGAUAUCGAUCUAACCGAUCUCUAACAUAACAACCAUCCUAAUUACCAGGAUGUAAAUCAAUAAACAUGUCAUGUAAUAAACCUGGAUGCGAAUCCGGUAAGGGCUGGCAUUGGUGCCUUAGACCCUGUUGAUAUAGUGAGGACCUCACCUGACACUGCUGAAGUCCCGCUGAUAAAAUCCAGCUGCCGGUUGACAGCUUCCCGAACUGUCAACAUCAAACAAUACCCGAUUAAUAAUUAGGUUCCAAGCCCAAGGUCCAACUCACAUUACAAACGCCCAAUAAUCAAGUAAUGGGCUAAAACCCAACAUAUGGCACAAUUUUCCAAAUUGGGCCGAACCCUUCACAUAGGCCUUACCUUAAGGCCCAUUCAAUUAUUCUAGUCCAAACUCUAGGUAUUCCCAUGGCCCAAUAUCACAUAAUCCUAAAGGUCUAGUUAUGGCCCAUCUAUGGCCCGAUUUUCCAAAUUGGGCCCAAGUCUCUCACAUGGGCCUUAUGCUAAAGCCCAUCUAAUUAUUUUGGUCCAUUAACUUGUUCUUGGAUAGCCUAUCCAUAGUCCAAUCACCAAAGCCCAAAAGGAAGGCCCAACUCAAGGCCCAAGUGAAAAUAGGGUUUCACAUGAAUGACGAUAAGGGUUAAGUGUUCCUACUUAACCCAUUAAGGACUUAAUCCAUUAAGGACUUAAUUCAUUAAGUCCAUUAUUGCCUUAGGUUAAUUUGCCCAUGAUUAUAAUUUAAUAUUUUAAGUUUAAUAAUUAAUUCAAGUAUGAGUCCCGAUCAAUCCCAAAAUUAGGGUUUCAUGGCAUUAGGGUUUCCAACCUAAUUGCUAGCCCAUUAAUCAAAUGGUGGGGCUUUUGGGUCCAUUAGGGCUUCCUUGGGCCCAUUAGAGUUCUUUGGGCCCACUAAGGUCUCAUUGGGACCACUAGGGUUUCAUUGGGCCCAUUUUGUCCAAACAUCCCAAAUGAGUCCAAAAAAAUGCAAACGAGGCACACCGCCACCCAACACGGCGACUGGUGGUGCCAGCAGGUGGCAGCGACCACCCUACGGUGGUGGUUUGAGAUUUUCUUUUCAUUAUUCCUACUCUGUUACUGUUUUACAAUGCAAUCUCGAUAACACACACACACUAAGCUACACACAACAAUAAAAUUAAACACACCCACAACCACCCUUAUGGUUGUCGGUGGUGGUAUAUGGUGGCAACCACCAUAGCUGGCGGCCAUGGUGGGUUCUCCAUUUCCAGCCAUCAAACAAUAUCAACAACACACUAAAUUCUAAUUUAUACAAACGAUCCGUCUACCCACCUAGCGACAGUGGCGACUUGGGAAAACAGGCAGCAGCGCUAGCGGCAACGUCGUCGGCGACAACCACCAUGGCCAGCUGCCAUGGUGGUUUGUCUUUGAGUUUUUCUGUCCCUCGAGCAUCCCUAUUGCAAUCCGCAACCCAAGUCACCCACGAGCUCGCAAGGCACGACAGAAGUACGCACACCCGAGCUUAGCAACGGUGGCAAUUAAUCGUUGAAACAUCGACUACAUCUACAGAAGAAGAAGAAGGAGGAGGAUAUGAUGGCUCACUGAUUGAUGGCAAUAGAACAGCAACGGCACAAGACAGUGGCAUUAACAGCUCUAUCAACCAGCUAUAGUGGAUUUGGACUUGGCUGGUGGUUCCCGAGCGUUUGUUACAUUCCUGGUGACGGAUGAGGGCUUCCAUGGCGGCGACGAAGACUAGAGGGCAUCCUAAUCGAGCGACGUUGGUGGUCACACACAUAGCUUUGUCAUUCCGGGAUCAAGGUGAGCUUGAGGGGGUUUGAUCUGGUGGUUGGGGUCUCAACCGGGGUGGUGGUGGCAGGAAGUUGGGUGGGUGGCGGCUGC
rnacentral:lncRNA from 1 species